rnacentral:rRNA from 1 species
GAUCCUGGCUCAGAGCGAACGUUAGCGGCAGGCCUAACACAGCAGUUGCGCGAGAAAGAGGGGUUCGCCCCCCUCGAGUACAGCGGCGUACGGGUGAGUAACACGUGGAUAAUCUGCCCUCCGGUGGGGGACAACAACCCGAAAGGGUUGCUAAUACCGCAUUCGUCGGCGAGCUCCGUGGAGCACGUCGGGGAAAGUGCCCUCUACUUGUAAGGUACCGCCGGAGGAGGAGUCCGCGUCCCAUCAGCUAGUUGGUAGGGUAAUGGCCUACCAAGGCAAAGACGGGUAGCUGGUCUGAGAGGAUGAUCAGCCACACUGGGACUGAGACACGGCCCAGACUCCUACGGGAGGCAGCAGUGGGGAAUAUUGGACAAUGGGCGCAAGCCUGAUCCAGCCAUGCCGCGUGAGUGAUGAAGGCCCUCGGGUCGUAAAGCUCUGUGGAGAGGGAAGAAUCCGUUCAGCAUCAGAUCCUGAACGUUGACGGUACCUCUUUAGCAAGCACCGGCUAACUCCGUGCCAGCAGCCGCGGUAA